ACGUCAUAUAACAACAACACGCAUUCUCAGAUUAUUCCAUCUUGAUCUGAAUGUUUCUUCAAUUUAUUCUGUUUAUAUAUAUUUGACAUUCUGUUUCGGCUAUUGGAUCUUAUAUUUAAAUCUUAGAUUCAUCGCACAGCGUUCCCAGGAGUUUGGUGGAUGAGAAGCCCACACUAUGCUGUUCAUCAAAUUAUUGUAUAUAUCCAUAUUCAUUUGGAAAGGUGUUGCUGCUUCCUAUAUUUACCUGAAUGAAAUCCUACCGAACUGUAAAGCUUGCAUACAAGAAGACAGCAAGGUGACCAUCAAGGGAACUUUCCAGCACGAGCCCAAGUUUGACCCGGCCAUCGGGCUGACCGUGCUCCAUGUCGAGAUGCUCAACACGUCCGGAUUUUCCCAUUACCAAUUAGAACGCACUCUAGAAGACAGACCGUGGCAUUUCGACAAACUUCCACAACGUUAGUCAGGUGACCAACACAGUUGGUUAGCCUCCUGAACAUCCCGAAUCAAAUGUCAGCACUCAUUGAGGCUUGAACUCGAGACCAGUACGCUUCCCUAAACACAAAGAAAUGUCAGAUUAUUAUGGUACGCUGCCUAGUGGAGAAAAAUAUCGCAUGCAAUUGCAAAAAGCUCAGUAGACCAAAUAUGUACGAAAUUUGGUUCACGAUAAAACCAUUGAGCAAGUACUUCGACACCAGGCUUAGAGUGAAUUACGCCUUGAGAGAUCUUGUCACCUUAAACUACAAGACUGUCGGCAUGAGCAACGAAUUCGAAAUCAACACAGUCAUGUUCUCCAAGAAUUACUACAAAAUAGUGAAGACAACACCCAGGCCUCCUCCGUUAGUUGAUUAUUCCGUGUUCGAUUUUUGGUAUGGGUACAGCCGAAGCAGCUCUGAAUGUUUGUUGGCGUCUGUGGGUAUUCUGGUCAUCUCAACCUGUCUUGGCUUUGAAAUAGCUCAAUCACAUUAAUAACUCACUUCUGCUCAGCGUCCCUUUUCAAGGGGGCUAAAGGAUUGACUGAUUCUAACAUGUGCAAGCUCCCCUAGGAAACUAAGGACUAUUGGUUGGUAUCAGAUCUUCAUGUUUUUUUGGAAGCCACAUUUAAAUGACUUUAUAGCUUAAACUAUUAGCUGUAUACGUAUCGUUAUAUUUUUUUUUUUACAAGAAAUAUAUUUACAUUUAAAUGGAACCAUUUUUGGCAACUAAAUUAAUUACAAACUGAAAAGAGGACGUCUUACUGAGAAAGAAUUAUAGAAGCUACACAUGUGGACAUCACUUUUGACAAAGAACGUACAAUUCUAAACAUUAUCCACUAUUGUUUUUAUUUGCUCGGGAACAACACUUUGGUAAUCAUUUAUUGUAUACAAUAGAAACCUAAAUGUAUUUGCAAGGUUAACUUAAAAUUCCUAAGGCACUGAACGUUAUUAUAAUUUUUUUUAAAAAAUGUACUAUGAUUGAUUCAGCGUGUUAAUUGAAACAGGAUGUUACUUGAAUCAGCGCGUGUUAUUUGAACCAGCGCAUGUUAAUUUUAACCAGGGUGUGUUAAUUGAACCAGAGUGGUUGCAAGAACCAGCGCGUGUUAAGUCAGUGUGUCUUGCUUGUGCGAUUGUUGUACCACGUUAUAAAAAGAAAAAAAAAUAGGCGCUGGUUUACUUUUGGAAACUUACGCCAGAUAUUUUUUGUUAAUAAAGUUCUACAGUAGGCUAGAUCAGGAGUAAGGGAGACUUGCGUUAGUUUAUACAUGAAACCUGUAUGCUCCUGUUAUAAUUUCAGUGUAAGCAUUGAUCAAUAAAAAUGAAACAUCACGACACUAUUUUAGAAGGCUAUUAAUGCUGCUAAGUGAAUGAAGUUUGAUACGUUUAGAAACAUCGUCUUCAUCUUGUAAAGGAAAUUAAAAUAUAACAUCUAAAGCGA